UAAGAGCCACUAAGAGCUGUGGAGGCAGGU
rnacentral:piRNA from 1 species